rnacentral:lncRNA from 1 species
UCUUCUCUUUAUUCAAAUGCAGGCUAUAUAUUUCAAUUACAAUGGCGAUAGAUUAAAGGCCUUAGAACAUUUCCUCGAAUGUGCAAACUGGCAGAAGGCACACUCAAUUUUCAUAAGUUCAGUCGUUCAUUCUCUGUUUUUGUCAGGUAGAGAUCUCAUUUUAUUUAUUCUUCAGUAUACUGAUAUCCAUUACUCCGUUCGGUCACUUGCCCUUCACUUUAUUUUUGAGUGGAAUUAAAUUUGACAUUGGGGUCCAUCACUUUUGGUGGUAAUUGGAUUCUUGAGAAUCAUAAUUUUUCAGCUCCUAUGUUGGUUUAAUAAUUGGGAAUCAUGAUAUGAAGUUAAGGGAAUGCGAAAUUAAAGCUUUUAAAUUAUGAUUUCCAUGAUUUGAUAUCUCGCCAAUCAAUUUGGAAUUCCGGAAACUUGGCAAAUGACUAUUUUAGGAGGAAAUUGUUGGAAAUGACCGGAUAACCCAUCCCUAUUUCCAAAGUGAUCUUUGACCGCCUUUUUAAUCAAAAAUCAAAUAAAAUUGAAUUUAAAGCUUAAAAUCCCAAAAUACCUCUCGGCUUCUCACAAAACUGAAAAAAGAAAGGUCGAUUUCCAGUCGGUCGGAGAACUUGUUAGUCCAUCGCCGGCGAACUAUUUCUUGUUAAGGUAACCGUUAUUAUAUUGAAUAUUUGGUUGGAUUAAUGUUUAGAUUUUGGUAAAGGUAUGAAUGAUUCUUUUGUGGGAAACUUUUUCAAUAUAUUGUUGUUUAUAUAUGUAAAAUAGGGUUUAUAUAGUGUUUUGAUGGUUGAUUUUUUAAAUUUGGAAGAUUUUUUCGCCGAAAAUGGUAAUUUUCCGACGAGAAAGGCGUUAGGACGCCGGCUGCUGGAGCAGUUGGCCAUUUUGGGGUGUCGGUCCACUCUUUUUUUUCAGUCCAAAUUUUUUUUUUUACAUAUAAUUUAAUAAUUUAAUUUUAAAUAAUUUUUAUUAUUAUUUUUUAAUAAAUAAUAAAUUAUUUAGUCGUCGAAUUUAAAUAAAAUUGUUACGACUAAAUUUAAAUAAAAUUUUUACAUUUAAUUUUUUUAAUAUUUAUUUUUAUUUCCUCAUUUUUGAUAAAAUAAUAAUUUUUUCGUUCAUCGAAUUGAAAUAAUUAUUUUAAUUGUGAACUUAAGUUUUAUAUUUAUUUUUAUUAUUAGUUUUUGAUAAAUAAUAAUUUAUUUAGUCAUCGAAUUUAAAUAAAUUAUUUACUUUUAAUUUUCAAUUUUAUUAAUAGUUUUGGAUGAUAUUUUUUUCGUUCAUCAAAUUUAAUUAAUGUUUUUAAUUGUAAUUUGAAAUAAUUGUUGGAAAUUUAAUUUGAAAUUUAAUAUUUAUUUUUAUUAUUAGUUUUUAAUAAAUAAUAAUUGAUUUAAUCGUCGAAUUUAAAUAAGUUAUUUACUUUUAAUUUUAUUAAUAGUUUUGGAUGAUAUAGUUGUUGGAAAUUUAAUAUUUAUAUUUAUAUUUAUUAUUAGUUUUUGAUAAAUAAUAUUAUUUUCGUUUAUCGAAUUUAAAUGUUUUUUGAACCUGAAUUGAUUAAAAAAAUAUUAAUAAUUGGGAAAAUUUGACAUUAUUGAUAAUAGGAUAAAAAAAUUCACAUUAUUGAUGAUUUUAAUUAUUAUGAAUCUGCGUCUUGCGUAUUGUAGUUACAAUUUCGUUCGCUAAAUUUUUUAUUAUUAUGUUUUAUUCUAUUAUUACUUGUAUAAUGUUAUAACAUUUUGAAUUUUUACAGGAUGGAUUAUCAUCUUGACACAGAGUUGAGACAUAUGCCAGGCAAAGCUACGUGAAAUAUUAGCUUAGAUAGUUUCAUUGUUGUGUUAGAGCUGCUCGAUGAUCAAUAUGCUGAUAUGCUGCGCUAGUCCUUCCUAUGGCCCUUGUACCCGUUGAAAGAUCUGCAGUACUCAGGUCAGAUUAUUGAUGCACUUCUAUGUCGAUUGCUGAGUCCAGUCGACGGCGAUACCCUCCACUUCGCAAUGGGGGGUAAAGUUGCCAGUUUUUCGAUGUUUGAGUUUGCGCUGAUCACGGGAUUAAAGAUUACGGGUGAUGAACUAGCUGGUGAUGGGACUCAGAGAAGAAAUAUGCUUCAUGACGCUUACUUCGAGGGACUGGGAACGGUGCUUCUUAUAUAGCUGUUGGGCGCAAUCAAAAAGUAUGAUCAGAUGUUAGACAGACUGAAGUUAGGUCUGGUCUACAUCCUUGAGAGCAUGGUGCGGUGUCACCAUAAGAAGAUUGCGAUUGACCUCUUCCAUCUGCAGAUCGUUGACAACAUCGAUCGUUUCAACGACUAUCCGUGGGGUCGGAGAUGUUUUGAGGACACCGUACACAUCUUCACCAGAUCGCACUCGAAGCCGUAGGGAGCCAUGCGUAAGUACGACACCUAUGGAUUGCCCCUGGCGGUGCAGGUAAAUGGUUAACAUAAUGAAUAUUAAAAUUAUUUUCAUAUUGAAUUUAUAUAUAAUAAUUGUAUGUGUUCCAGAUCUGAGCGUAUGAGACCGUCCCCAUAUUGGGUGCUCGCUUUGCGAGGCGAGGGGAGACACGCUGCUCUCGAAUGCACCAUUGGAGAGCAUCUCAAUCGGAGGGAUGUCCCACUGGAAAACAGUUAUCGGCUAUCCUCGACGAUUCUCAGGGAAGUAUUAUGCAUUUGUAAUUUAUAUUGUGCGUGAUUUAGCAUCUGAUUGCAUGAUUGUUAACUAGUUCAAAUGUUAAUAUGUCAGCUUGAAGUCAUAAAUGAGUUGACGUCGUCGAUGGAGGAGGAGGCUCAGGGUCUUGUGCAUGAAUUAGGCGUUUCGCACACCCAAGACAAUCAGAUGUCCGAUCCGAUCCACGAUUGAGAUUGGGUGAGCGAAUUGAAUAAAAUCUAUUGAUUACCGUUUUGUAUGAGUUAGCAAUUACGGAUUAAGUUAAUAAUUUGUAAUGUUGUUGCUUGUGUAGGAGCGUGAUCUUGUUGAUCAACGAUCACCUCCGUCGAGGGCAUUAUCACCUCCAUCGAGGGCAUCUCCUCCCCCUCCCUCGUUCAAAGAUCUUUCCUGUGGAUCUCUUGCACAUAGUCAUGGGCACUAUUUUGAUGAUCCGUAUGCCCGUCUGAGCAGAUUUAUAGUAGGGCAGGUCGACGGGCUUCGUCAAGAGAUGAUAGAGAGGGUUCAUGAUCUGGGACAACAGUUGGUACGAAGGGUCGAAGAUUUGUCUAAUGAGAUUGCAGCACUUCGAGGUGAUAUAGUCGGUAGGCGAUGGGUUGACAGAGACGGUGAUCGACGAGGUGAUCGAGAGGGUGAUAGAGAUGGGGGGGAGGUCUCCGGUAGUCAUACAUGUAUGAUGAUGAUGCAUGGAAAUCAUUUAUUUUAUCCGUGGAGCGCGAUGGGACAGGAGCAGUGACAGAGGAGAGGGCCCGUCGGGAAGGGAGACGGUGGCAGAUGAGGGAAUGGCCCCAUCGGGGACAGAGACGAUGACAGAUGAGGGAGUGAGCCCGUCGGGGACGGAGACAGUGGUAGAUGAGGGGAUGGAGGAGGUAGCGAGCCUGGGGUGGAGGAGGUAGCGAGCCUGGGAUGGCAGUGUAUAAGGCAAAAAAGCGUGCUGGUGACAUGUUGGAGACGGUGGUCGGCAAGAGGCUGAGAGUGCCGUCAUAGUACGUCGUCUCUCCCUUCACGGCUAAGGCGAAGAGGAGGAGGUUCGUCGAUGGGACGUAUCCCAAUCUGUUUUAGGAGGUCGACCAUGCUAAGUGGAAAACAUUCGAGAUUGAGUGGGGAAGAAUGUUGUCCGGAUAAGUAUUGUAUGAUUUAGUAGACUACUAGAACUCGUAUAUGCUUCGUUUAACGUUUUUUCUAUUUUAUUUCCAGAGCCAUGCACAUGAUAGUCGGAAGGACGAUAUUGGAUGCAUAUAAGUGGUUCUAUGAUAUUACAAAUCAGGGGGCUUGGCUCGCCGACGAUGUAAGUAAAGUGUUAUUGUUACUUUUUGUAUACAUUAUGUUUAAUUUGGUAAAUGAAAUAAGUAUUUAUAUCUUUGUUUUCCUUGAUGUAGCACAUCGGCAUGGCCAUAGACUUGUUGCACGAUCGAGUUGAGAGAUAUCCACAAUCAUUCCACAAGUCUGGUCGCAUAAUACUGAACACCGUGUUCUUCCGUGUCGUUACCAUUGAGUAUCAGUCGCUCCAGUUUCUAGGUAACGAGUAUGUACUUCCCACGUAUAUGCUCGAGUGGGUCAUCAGGUUGUCACUGAGUGUUGAGGGAAAGUCAUGGGAGGGUUGUAUGCAUUUAUACAUUCCAGUGAUCGUGAAUCAGAACUGCAUUGCACUGGAGAUCGAGUUCCUUGAUUCGACGAUAUAUGUGUACGACCUCGAUCAUUCAUGUCUGACACAGGGACAGCUCGAGCAGAACUUAGAGCCGGUGACUGUGAUUGUUCCUAUGAUGGCUAGGCAUGUGGGCUUUAUCGUGGAUGAAAAACUAGCCAUCGUGCGGGACACGACGAUGGCGAGAUAGUCUAUAUCGUAAGUUUUUGUAAUCUUUUUUUUUUUUUAAUUUAGUAAUCGGUUCGUACGUAGUUAGAACCGAACUAACACAUAUUUGUUUAUUUGCAAGGGCGGCUAUGGGAUUUUCGCUAUCAAAUACAUAGAAUUUUUUAGUAUAGCGCAUAAGGUUGAUGAAAUCAACCAGUCAUGGAUGCAGAAUUGACAAAAUAAGUUAGCGUGUGAUUUAUACGAAUUUUAUUGUGAUCCAUAAAUUAUUUGUAAAUAUUUUUUGUAAUUAAUAUAUGUAAUUAUUUUUGUGAUUUUUUGUAAAUAUUUUUCGCAAUUGUUUAUAAUUAUUCAUGUAAAU